rnacentral:rRNA from 1 species
UAGUUGCAAGGUAUAGACCCGAAACCCGGUGAUCUAGCCAUGGGCAGGUUGAAGGUUGGGUAACACUAACUGGAGGACCGAACCGACUAAUGUUGAAAAAUUAGCGGAUGACUUGUGGCUGGGGGUGAAAGGCCAAUCAAACCGGGAGAUAGCUGGUUCUCCCCGAAAGCUAUUUAGGUAGCGCCUCGUGAACUCAUCUUCGGGGGUAGAGCACUGUUUCGGCUAGGGGGCCAUCCCGGCUUACCAAACCGAUGCAAACUCCGAAUACCGAAGAAUGUUAUCACGGGAGACACACGGCGGGUGCUAACGUCCGUCGUGAAGAGGGAAACAACCCAGACCGCCAGCUAAGGUCCCAAAGUCAUGGUUAAGUGGGAAACGAUGUGGGAAGGCAUAGACAGCCAGGAUGUUGGCUUAGAAGCAGCCAUCAUUUAAAGAAAGCGUAAUAGCUCACUGGUCGAGUCGGCCUGCGCGGAAGAUGUAACGGGGCUAAACCAUGCACCGAAGCUGCGGCAGCGACGCUUAG